GGGUGGGUGAUGCAGUGGUUUGAGUGUUAAGGCUACCACACUGGAGUCCAGGGUUCGAAUCCCGUCUCGGCCA